rnacentral:rRNA from 1 species
AUGGCUUCUCCUACGCCGUCCUCGUCUCCUAUGCCGGUUAUGGACGCACGGAUGAGGCUGAUAAUCCAGGCAGGAACACUGAUUAAUGUGAUUCAGGCAUGGGUCAUGUUCAUGCACCAGAGAGCUAUUCGUCGUGCUGGGAGACCUUUGAUCUGCUAUAGUCCAUUGUUUCUCCGGAAACAGGAGAGGAUCCAAAAUCUGAACUACAUCUACAACUGCAAUGACGUCGAGGCUUUGUGGAUGCUUUGA